UACGGGGGGGUGCGAGCGUUGUCCGGAAUCACUGGGCGUAAAGGGCGCGUAGGUGGCCUGAUAAGGGUGUGGUGAAAGUCCGGGGCUCAACCCCGGAUCUGCCGUGCCGACUGUUGGGCUGGAGUACUGUAGGGGCAGGCGGAAUUCCGGGUGUAGCGGUGGAAUGCGUAGAGAUCCGGAGGAAGACCGGUGGCGAAGGCGGCCUUCUGGACCAGCACUGACACUCAAGCACGAAAGCGUGGGGGAGCAAAC
rnacentral:rRNA from 1 species